rfam:Endozoicomonas numazuensis strain DSM 25634 scaffold00001, whole genome shotgun sequence.
GAUCGCCAUACAGAAGUCAGCAGACGGCAUAGUAGCUGGCGAAUGUCAGUGAAGGCC